rnacentral:rRNA from 1 species
AUUGAACGCUGGCGGCAUGCUUUACACAUGCAAGUCGAACGGCAGCGCGGGCUUCGGCCUGGCGGCGAGUGGCGAACGGGUGAGUAAUACAUCGGAACGUGCCCAGUAGUGGGGGAUAGCUCGGCGAAAGCCGGAUUAAUACCGCAUACGACCUGAGGGUGAAAGCGGGGGAUCUUCGGACCUCGCGCUAUUGGAGCGGCCGAUGGCAGAUUAGCUAGUUGGUGGGGUAAAGGCCUACCAAGGCGACGAUCUGUAGCUGGUCUGAGAGGACGACCAGCCACACUGGGACUGAGGCACGGCCCAGACUCCUACGGGAGGCAGCAGUGGGGAAUUUUGGACAAUGGGCGAAAGCCUGAUCCAGCAAUGCCGCGUGUGUGAUGAAGGCCUUCGGGUUGUAAAGCACUUUUGGCGGGAACGAAAAGGACUGUGCAAAUACCACGGUUCGAUGACGGUACCCGAAGAAUAAGCACCGGCUAACUACGUG